rnacentral:misc_RNA from 1 species
GUGCAACUUUUUACAGCCCUAAUCCGUAGCGUUUCAGAUAGUCCCUGACGUAAUUUCGGGCGAAAAUUUUUCAACCGCCAAAUAGUAGAAAAAGAAACACACACUCGUACUUUCUACUCGUAGACGUAGCGGGACUCCGUUCUUUUUCUCCUACUUCCUAAACUGACCUCAGGGCAUCCCCCGCGUUAAACUGUACGCCACACCGUACACUAUUACACACACUACACUCUCGUCGACCCACGUGAAACAAUUUCUCCACAUUGUAAUAUAACGUAGUGACUAACUAAUUACAGAUCUAACGUCCACACUGCGUUCACCGGUUCACCUUAUAUGUCCCGGUGACCAACUGUCACUUCUUUUCGUCAAAAUCUUUAUUCGUUUUGAAAAGUUCGAUUUCCACUGUAUACCAAAUUCCUUGUCAAUUUCACCUAGAAACUUUUGUCGACUGUUCAAAAGCAACGGAAGAUCACUCGAUUCGAUUCAAAUUUUGGGCGAUCGAUCCGAUUGGUCCGUCAACCACGAACUAUGUAGUACUCAGACGCGCUCGCGACGUGAAAAAAAUUCGACGGAGAUCUCUCGAUCGAAUCGAACGCGGUGAUGAUUUCAUUACAGGUGUAACGAAAUACCGUGUAAAGUUUCUAGUUUUUACAACUUCACUAUGCGUGUACCCGGAGCGAUAAGCGGUUAUCUCAUCGGGAACAAACGUU